AAACGACUAUCGGCAACGGAUAUCUCGGCUCUCGCAUCGAUGAAGAACGCAGCGAAAUGCGAUACUUGGUGUGAAUUGCAGGAUCCCGCGAACCAUCGAGUCUUUGAACGCAAGUUGCGCCCGAAGCCUUUUGGCCGAGGGCACGUCUGCCUGGGUGUCACUC
rnacentral:rRNA from 1 species